UGGGGAAUUUUGCACAAUGGGGGAAACCCUGAUGCAGCGACGCCGCGUGAUUUAGAAGGCCUUCGGGUUGUAAAAAUCUUUUCUAUGGGAAGAAAAUGACAGUACCAUAGGAAUAAGGACCGGCUAAUUACGUGCCAGCAGCCGCGGUAAUACGUAAGGUCCGAGCGUUGUCCGGAAUCAUUGGGCGUAAAGGGUACGUAGGCGGGUAAGCAAGUUAGAAGUGAAAUCCUAUAGCUCAACUAUAGUAAGCUUUUAAAACUGCUCAUCUUGAGGUAUGGAAGGGAAAGUGGAAUUCCUAGUGUAGCGGUGAAAUGCGCAGAUAUUAGGAGGAAUACCGGUGGCGAAGGCGACUUUCUGGCCAUAACCUGACGCUGAGGUACGAAAGCGUGGGUAGCAAACAG
rnacentral:rRNA from 1 species